AUGGGCAGCAGAGCCAAACCACGAACAAUUUCCUACAGGAACAUUUCUCAGGAAAGAAUGGAGAGCUGCAAGGAGCUCAGAACCAUCGGGUGCAGGAAACGUGGCAAUUCCCGACAAAAAUGCCCUGGGACAAACUGGUGCCAUUGGGUCCCUCCAAACUCCGCUGGUGAGCUGGUGGUGCCAGUGCCUCUGUGGGCAGGACCUCCUGGAGCAGCAUGGAGCACAUCAGGGCCAGCUGCCCAUACUGGAGAUGCCCUGGGAGGGGGCUCAGUGUCCCCUGGGGAUGUUCAGGCCUUUCCAUGAACACACAGAGCUUGGGUGCGUCGCUCCAAGAUGGCCAAGCUCAGGUGAAGAAGCUCUUCUCUUAGGGGCAGAUCACUGGGAAAGGUCUCAGCCAGGGGGGUGAAGGCCACCCAGGCUGUUUGUUAGGUGAUUACAGUAAAUGAUGGGCAGCAAGGCUGGAGCUUUUGUGUUAAUUUAAACAAGGGCAUCAGAGGAAGCAUCUUUGCUCAAUCUGGGAGAUCCUUUUUUUGUACCCUACGCAAGCCAUGGAUUAAUCAGCAAUAGCACGUAGCCCAGCUUGCUCAAUUUACUAAUAUUUAUCUGACUAAGACUCUUUUUUCCUGAGAGGCUUGAAAUGUCUCAUCCCACUGAGUCAGUAUGUUACCAUUACAUGUUGUAAACUGCUGCAGACAGUCAUGGAGCAGUUGUGAGGAGCUGGGAAGAAAAGAUGUCAUUUCCCGUCAGCCGGGCCUUGGCUGUGCUCUGCAGCAGACAGCCAAAUAAGGGUGGGAAUGUGCCAAAUCCAACCUGCUUAGGACAACUCCAGGCACCUGAAUUCCAUACUGGGAUUAAAAACUGCGGGAAGAGGGGCUGUUUUGCUCUGUCUCUUCCCAGCAGCCUGGGCAUGACUGUGUGUGUAGUGUGUUCCCCACUUUGGAUGCUGUACAGGUGUUUAGUUUGGUUAUUAAAAUAAAAAUGGAAAAAGAAGUCUUGUGCUAUCUGGU
rnacentral:lncRNA from 1 species